GGCUCCAUAGCUCAGGUAGUAGAGCAACAGAUUGAAAAUCUGUGUGUGCGUGGUGCAAAUCCACGUGGAGCCACCA
rnacentral:tRNA from 1 species